CUACUUGCACUGAACAAAUAUGUGGUCAUACAACCACUUCAAGUUUAAAAAUAAUACAUAAAUAUGGAUUACAAAAGCAAGCUUUGAUGACAGACAUAUAAAAGAAAUUGCUUUAUCAUUAGUAAUAUCUAUCCAAACCGAUUCAUUAAGUAACUCUGGGAUAAACUAUUAAAUUAAAUAGAACUGUCGGUAAAUACUAAGUUCAUUAACUAUUAAAAUGGAGAUAAUUCAAAUGGAGAAGGAAAGAUAGAUUUAAGCAGUCAUAAUAGAGGCAACCAUAAUGAAGCAUCGCCUCUUGUUCACUAAUUUGUUUAAUAUAAGGCAUGCUCUUCACAUCAAUAAGCUCCACAUCUUGCUGAAACAGUUAUGUUCUCGAUCCCUUUGCUUGCCGCAGCAUCCUAGCAAAUUACAUUAGGUCAUGAUUCACACUUUUUUGCUUAUAAGUUAUAACCAAGGAAACAUGGAAAGAAAAUAACCCAAGGUCUUCUUGUACCUAUCUGUUAAGUCAAAUCCUAGGAAGUUCUCAACCACCUAAUUCCUACUUAUUUUCGCUUGCACUUGAAGCUUAUACCAAGAUAUUGAGGGACUUAGUUAACUAUCAAUUGCUUCUCCAGCUAAAAAAUGCUUCAUUACCAUCUUUCUAUACCAAAUUGGUCGCUUCGACAGUCUUUAUAAAUUUCAUUCCAAUUCUAAGCUUAAGCCAUACAAAUACUUCAAGUGAACUUUUAAGCACAUGCACAUGAUUUUGAUUCUGAAGUUUGUGAAAAUGUUAAGGUUCCAUACAAACAAACAAAUGACUCUAUUAGAUUUAAGUGAUGGAGAAGAAAAUAGAUAUAGGCUUUACUUAAAUAGAAGUGCUAGAGAGCACUCUCACCUUCCUUGUUCUUCCAAUUAAAGGUGUUGCAGCAGGCUAUUAAGAGGGCUCUCAAUAUUUUGUUAUGCAAAAGAAAUUACAGUUAGGAUAAGGUAAAAAUAUUAAAUAAACAACGAAGGGAAGGCGGCGCAGAAAAUUUGUGAAUCUCCUAAUAGACUUUGGACAAACAGAAGAAUCGUUCGACAAUCAAGAGCUGAAAACAUUUUGUCCUGCAAAAAGAAAAAUGAAAUAAUCAUGUUAAAACGAAAGGAAGGUGGCUUUUCUGAUGACAUAACAUUCACUAUUUUUCAUUGAAAGACUACAGGCAUAGUCAAAUUGCUGCGGUAUGAAGGAGAUUGUUGUUCAUGCCUAUACUGUGACUUGGUAAUCAUUUUCUAGUAUUAACUCUUUAUUGCCCUAUUCUAUUACAAGUUACAAGUUACAACAACAAAUAGAAUAAUUAUAGAUAAUUGUUACAAGAAAGAGGGAAAUAAUCAAAACAAUUACAAAGGAGAAAAAAGAUUUAGAAGAACGAUUGAAACACUUUAUAGGAAAUAAACUAUAUGUUGGGCAUCCAAAAUAUAUAAUUUUAUACUCACCUCAUAUUAUACAGAAGAAUUAAGAUUGAAGGUUGUAAAGCAGAACUUUUUACGAACCCAGUUGAAGUAAGUUGUUGAUGUAUUACAAGCAUAGAGUAAUAUAUAUAUCAAAAGUCAUAGCAAAAUUGGAAAUUGAAGCUUAAAACAAACAGGAAAAAUGACGAACACAGGGAUGGCCAAAGAUGACGUAUAAAUAAAAAAUAUGUUCAAAGCCUAAUCCCACUGUCAAGACAAAUACUGAAAAUCCCAAUAAAACGAAAAAGAAGUAAGAGUCGAAAAAUUCACAGGAAUCCAAUGGUUGGACUGAUACUCUGCAAAAAAUUAAUGUAAGAAGCCGGUAAAAAAAAGUUUAAUAAGGAGACACAUGAUCAAACACCAAUCAAACAUGAAGAAUUUUUACCUCGGAUAUUUUUACAGAGAGAAAUUGCUCCUCCUCAAUUGAUUUCUUCCUCUAUCUUUAAUUUAUUCUCCAUCCUGGCUGCAAUUGGAAUUGAAGACCUUAAGGUUUUGGUUGAAACGCUAAUGUGUUUAAUUCUUUCACCCCUGUUGAUUUAUUGGUAAAAGCAAACGGCUGCCUUAUUAGGGAAAACAAACGACGCUUAUUAGAGAAACGGUUUAAAAGACUAAAAUUGGAUAGCAACCGUUGUUCAUUCAUCGAGAAACCCC
rnacentral:lncRNA from 1 species